rnacentral:rRNA from 1 species
AACGAACGUUGGCGGCGUGGAUUAGGCAUGCAAGUCGCGGGAAUGCCCAGCAAUGGGCGGAACCGGCGUAAGGGGCAGUAAGGCGUGGGCGACCUACCCCGGGGUCCGGGAUAGCCCGCCGAGAGGCGGGGUAAUACCGGAUGACCUCGUGAGAGCAAAGUUGCGGCGCCCCGGGAGGGGCCCACGUGAUAUUAGUUAGUUGGUGGGGUGACGGCCCACCAAGGCGAAGAUGUCUAGCGGGUGUGAGAGCACGACCCGCGCCACUGGCACUGAGACACUGGCCAGACACCUACGGGGGGCUGCAGUCGAGGAUCUUCGGCAAUGGGGGCAACCCUGACCGAGCGACGCCGCGUGUGCGACCGAAGGCCUUCGGGUUGUAAAGCACUGUCGAGGGGGAGAAAGGGGCAACCUUGAUCUAUCCCUGGAGGAAGCACGGGCUAAGUUCGUGCCAGCAGCCGCCGUAAAAC